rnacentral:rRNA from 1 species
GGUUAAGCGACUAAGCGUACACGGUGGAUGCCCUGGCAGUCAGAGGCGAUGAAGGACGUGCUAAUCUGCGAUAAGCGCCGGUAAGGUGAUAUGAACCGUUAUAACCGGCGAUUUCCGAAUGGGGAAACCCAGUGUGAUUCGUCACACUAUCAUUAACUGAAUCCAUAGGUUAAUGAGGCGAACCGGGGGAACUGAAACAUCUAAGUACCCCGAGGAAAAGAAAUCAACCGAGAUUCCCCCAGUAGCGGCGAGCGAACGGGGAGGAGCCCAGAGCCUGAAUCAGCAUGUGUGUUAGUGGAAGCGUCUGGAAAGGCGCGCGAUACAGGGUGACAGCCCCGUACACAAAAGCGCAUGUGCUGUGAGCUCGAUGAGUAGGGCGGGACACGUGGUAUCCUGUCUGAAUAUGGGGGGACCAUCCUCCAAGGCUAAAUACUCCUGACUGACCGAUAGUGAACCAGUACCGUGAGGGAAAGGCGAAAAGAACCCCGGCGAGGGGAGUGAAAAAGAACCUGAAACCGUGUACGUACAAGCAGUGGGAGCCCCACCACUAAGCCAGUGGUGAACUCCACAUACGCAUCCUUUGCUGAGGAUACGGUUAACGGAGCGAAAGCGACGUUCAACCUCAAAAGAAGCAGAGGGGGCUUAGUGGUGGGGUGACUGCGUACCUUUUGUAUAAUGGGUCAGCGACUUAUAUUCUGUAGCAAGGUUAACCGAAUAGGGGAGCCGGAGGGAAACCGAGUCUUAACCGGGCGUUAAGUUGCAGGGUAUAGACCCGAAACCCGGUGAUCUAGCCAUGGGCAGGUUGAAGGUUGGGUAACACUAACUGGAGGACCGAACCGACUAAUGUUGAAAAAUUAGCGGAUGACCUGUGGCUGGGGGUGAAAGGCCAAUCAAACCGGGAGAUAGCUGGUUCUCCCCGAAAGCUAUUUAGGUAGCGCCUCGUGAAUUCAUCUCCGGGGGUAGAGCACUGUUUCGGCUAGGGGGCCAUCCCGGCUUACCAACCCGAUGCAAACUGCGAAUACCGGAGAAUGUUAUCACGGGAGACACACGGCGGGUGCUAACGUCCGUCGUGAAGAGGGAAACAACCCAGACCGCCAGCUAAGGUCCCAAAGUCAUGGUUAAGUGGGAAACGAUGUGGGAAGGCCCAGACAGCCAGGAUGUUGGCUUAGAAGCAGCCAUCAUUUAAAGAAAGCGUAAUAGCUCACUGGUCGAGUCGGCCUGCGCGGAAGAUGUAACGGGGCUAAACCAUGCACCGAAGCUGCGGCAGCGACGCUUAUGCGUUGUUGGGUAGGGGAGCGUUCUGUAAGCCUGUGAAGGUGGCCUGUGAGGGUUGCUGGAGGUAUCAGAAGUGCGAAUGCUGACAUAAGUAACGAUAAAGCGGGUGAAAAGCCCGCUCGCCGGAAGACCAAGGGUUCCUGUCCAACGUUAAUCGGGGCAGGGUGAGUCGACCCCUAAGGCGAGGCCGAAAGGCGUAGUCGAUGGGAAACGGGUUAAUAUUCCCGUACUUGGUGUUACUGCGAAGGGGGGACGGAGAAGGCUAUGUUGGCCGGGCGACGGUUGUCCCGGUUUAAGCGUGUAGGUGUGUGUUCCAGGUAAAUCCGGUUCACUUUAACACUGAGGCGUGACGACGAGGCACUACGGUGCUGAAGCAACAAAUGCCCUGCUUCCAGGAAAAGCCUCUAAGCAUCAGGUAACAUCAAAUCGUACCCCAAACCGACACAGGUGGUCAGGUAGAGAAUACCAAGGCGCUUGAGAGAACUCGGGUGAAGGAACUAGGCAAAAUGGUGCCGUAACUUCGGGAGAAGGCACGCUGACACGUAGGUGAAGUGAUUUACUCACGGAGCUGAAGUCAGUCGAAGAUACCAGCUGGCUGCAACUGUUUAUUAAAAACACAGCACUGUGCAAACACGAAAGUGGACGUAUACGGUGUGACGCCUGCCCGGUGCCGGAAGGUUAAUUGAUGGGGUCAGCGCAAGCGAAGCUCCUGAUCGAAGCCCCGGUAAACGGCGGCCGUAACUAUAACGGUCCUAAGGUAGCGAAAUUCCUUGUCGGGUAAGUUCCGACCUGCACGAAUGGCGUAAUGAUGGCCAGGCUGUCUCCACCCGAGACUCAGUGAAAUUGAACUCGCUGUGAAGAUGCAGUGUACCCGCGGCAAGACGGAAAGACCCCGUGAACCUUUACUAUAGCUUGACACUGAACAUUGAGCCUUGAUGUGUAGGAUAGGUGGGAGGCUUUGAAGUGUGGACGCCAGUCUGCAUGGAGCCGACCUUGAAAUACCACCCUUUAAUGUUUGAUGUUCUAACGUGGACCCGUAAUCCGGGUUGCGGACAGUGUCUGGUGGGUAGUUUGACUGGGGCGGUCUCCUCCUAAAGAGUAACGGAGGAGCACGAAGGUUGGCUAAUCCUGGUCGGACAUCAGGAGGUUAGUGCAAUGGCAUAAGCCAGCUUGACUGCGAGCGUGACGGCGCGAGCAGGUGCGAAAGCAGGUCAUAGUGAUCCGGUGGUUCUGAAUGGAAGGGCCAUCGCUCAACGGAUAAAAGGUACUCCGGGGAUAACAGGCUGAUACCGCCCAAGAGUUCAUAUCGACGGCGGUGUUUGGCACCUCGAUGUCGGCUCAUCACAUCCUGGGGCUGAAGUAGGUCCCAAGGGUAUGGCUGUUCGCCAUUUAAAGUGGUACGCGAGCUGGGUUUAGAACGUCGUGAGACAGUUCGGUCCCUAUCUGCCGUGGGCGCUGGAGAACUGAGGGGGGCUGCUCCUAGUACGAGAGGACCGGAGUGGACGCAUCACUGGUGUUCGGGUUGUCAUGCCAAUGGCACUGCCCGGUAGCUAAAUGCGGAAGAGAUAAGUGCUGAAAGCAUCUAAGCACGAAACUUGCCCCGAGAUGAGUUCUCCCUGAGACUUUAGGUCUCCUGAAGGAACGUUGAAGACGACGACGUUGAUAGGCCGGGUGUGUAAGCGCAGCGAUGCGUUGAGCUAACCGGUACUAAUGAACCGUGAGGCUUAACCUU